rnacentral:rRNA from 1 species
UACGUAGGUGACCAGCGUUGUCCGGAUUUACUGGGCGUAAAGAGCGCGCAGGCGGUCGUUCAAGUCGAGUGUGAAAGCCCCCGGCUCAACUGGGGAGGGUCAUUCGAUACUGAUCGACUCGAAGGCAGGAGAGGGAAGUGGAAUUCCCGGUGUAGUGGUGAAAUGCGUAGAUAUCGGGAGGAACACCAGUGGCGAAGGCGACUUCCUGGCCUGUUCUUGACGCUGAGGCGCGAAAGCUAGGGGAGCGAACGGG